AGCUGGUAAAAUGGAACCAGAUCAACUGUUGAAUGGAUUUGGUCCCCUUCAACCAGCUGU
rnacentral:pre_miRNA from 1 species